GGCGCUGCAAAGGCUGCGGGCAGCUUCGCAACCCAGCGCUCAACCGCUGCGCCACCGGGGAGGCCCUUCAUUCACUUUUAAUGGCAAUGGCAAUUCAUCAAACCAGGGCCUCCACCAUGACAACGACAGAGAACAUUGAGAGUGAGACACCUGCCUCCAUCCUGUCAGAGCUGGGCUCCCAAGAUUGGGCAAUGGAAUUACUCUGAAAUUUCAGAUGAGCCUUUUAGUAAUGGGGUGUGCAAUUCAAGGAGAAAUAGAUGUUCUAAACAUCCCCAGUCAUAUAGACACAAUAACCAGCGUGAAUGCACAUACAGGUGCAUGUGACUAUGGUUUCGAUGACUAUCUGGAAGCCUCUUUUCUGACUGGAAGCUGUUCUGAACCUUAUUAAAGUGUUUUGGGGAAAACCCAGCGAGAUUUGGUUAGCAGACUUUCCAGACUGGAGUGCCCCGUAAGGGGUAGCUAUUCACAUUGCUCUAUGAUAUGCUGGGCUUGCUCCCCUUAUGCCCCCAGUACCCAGAAAAUUGCGUGGUGUACAACAUAGCAACUGUUUGAGGCUGAACGAGUAACCUGACAUUGGGAAAGGAAUAUUGUGGAAUGCAAUGAACAGAUGGUGUGUAAGCAUUCAUUGUGCGUCGAUUUUGCCUUACUGACCAGCACCCAGGGGAACCAGAACCAUUAUCUCAGAAUCACAGGGCAGGAAAAAGAGAAAUAAUUUCUAUCAUUAGCCAAAACCUCACUAAGAUCUAGGGCCAUUGCUGUCCUGAGAGUGAAGAUAUGUGAUCUGAUUUCAUCCCCACACUAGCCUGACAAAAAGAUAUUUAUUCAGUCUCUCUGAUAAAAAGAACUACCUGCCAUGUGCUAGACCUACACAAGACAUAUUUUUUAGCUGUGAUUUCAUUUAAACCCUCACAUUCCAUGAGAUAAACAUUAUUACCGAAGAGGAAGCAGAGUCAGAAAG